UAGGAUUAGAGACCCUACUAUAACUGGGAUUAGAUACCCCACUAUUUUAGUCCAAAAAAUAAAUAGAAGUUUACUCAAAGCUUAUGGCGGCUUUUUAAGAACUUAGGGGAACUUACCAGAUAAUAGAUAACCACCUACAAAAUCUUCCUUUCUAAUUAGUUUGUAUGCCGUCGUUGUUAUCUUUUUUUAAAAAAAAGAUAAAAAAAUUUUUCAGUUUUAAUAACAGAUCAAGGUGCAGCUUAUAAAAAGGACUUAAGGCGAGUUACAAUAAAAUUUUAUCUUCUUUAAUCUUUUAGUAUAAUAGAUUAUAGAUGGACUUAAAAGUAAAAAGGCCUAAAAUUGCCUUUUUAAUAUUAUUUAUUUGGUGUACAAAUCGCCCGUCACUCU
rnacentral:rRNA from 1 species